CCAGACUCCUACGGGAGGCAGCAGUGGGGAAUAUUGCACAAUGGGGGAAACCCUGAUGCAGCGACGCCGCGUGAGUGAAGAAGUAAUUCGUUACGUAAAGCUCUAUCAGCAGGGAAGAGAAUGACGGUACCUGAGUAAGAAGCCCCGGCUAACUACGUGCCAGCAGCCGCGGUAAUACGUAGGGGGCAAGCGUUAUCCGGAUUUACUGGGUGUAAAGGGAGCGUAGACGGCAUGGCAAGUCUGAAGUGAAAGCCCGGGGCUCAACCGCGGGACUGCUUUGGAAACUGUUAAGCUGGAGUGCAGGAGAGGUAAGUGGAAUUCCUAGUGUAGCGGUGAAAUGCGUAGAUAUUAGGAGGAACACCAGUGGCGAAGGCGGCUUACUGGACUGUAACUGACGUUGAGGCUCGAAAGCGUGGGGAGCAAACAGGAUUAGAUACCCGGGUAUC
rnacentral:rRNA from 1 species